rnacentral:rRNA from 1 species
AGACCGUCUACAUUAGACUACCCUGUAGUCCCAGCCGUAAACUAUGCUCGCUAGGUGUCAGGCAUGGCGCGACCGUGUCUGGUGCCGCAGGGAAGCCGUGAAGCGAGCCACCUGGGAAGUACGGCCGCAAGGCUGAAACUUAAAGGAAUUGGCGGGGAGCACCACAACGGGUGGAGCCUGCGGUUUAAUUGGACUCAACGCCGGGAAGCUCACCGGAUAAGACAGCGGAAUGAUUGCCGGGCUGAAGACUCUGCAUGACUAGCUG